rnacentral:rRNA from 1 species
GUGAGGAGAAGACGAGAAAAAAACACCAGGGUGGAUUG